rnacentral:rRNA from 1 species
GACGAACGCUGGCGGCGUGCUUAACACAUGCAAGUCGAACGGAAAGGCCCCCACCUUGGUGGGGGUGCUCGAGUGGCGAACGGGUGAGUAACACGUGGGUGAUCUGCCCUGUACUUCGGGAUAAGCUUGGGAAACUGGGUCUAAUACCGGAUAGGACCAUGGUUUAGUGUCUCAUGGUGGAAAGAUUUUUUGGUGCAGGAUGAGCUCGCGGCCUAUCAGCUUGUUGGUGGGGUAAUGGCCUACCAAGGCGUCGACGGGUAGCCGGCCUGAGAGGGUGGACGGCCACAUUGGGACUGAGAUACGGCCCAGACUCCUACGGGAGGCAGCAGUGGGGAAUAUUGCACAAUGGGCGCAAGCCUGAUGCAGCGACCCCGCGUGGGGGAUGACGGCCUUCGGGUUGUAAACUCCUUUCGUUAGGGACGAAGCCGCACCUUUUUUUGGGUGUGGUGACGGUACCUUUGUUAAAAAGCACCGGCUAACUACGUGUCAGCAGCCGCGGUAAUACGUAGGGUGCGAGCGUUUUCCGGAAUUACUGGGCGUAAAGAGCUCGUAGGUGGUUUGUUGCGUCGUCUGUGAAAUUCCGGGGCUUAACUUCGGGGUGGCAGGCGAUACGGGCAUAACUAGAGUGCUGUAGGGGAGACUGGAAUUCCUGGUGUAGCGGUGGAAUGCGCAGAUAUCAGGAGGAACACCGAUGGCGAAGGCAGGUCUCUGGGCAGUAACUGACGCUGAGGAGCGAAAGCAUGGGGAGCGAACAGGAUUAGAUACCCUGGUAGUCCAUGCUGUAAACGGUGGGCGUUAGGUGUGGGGACCGGUUUGGUUUCUGUGCCGUAGCUAACGCAUUAAGCGCCCCGCCUGGGGAGUACGGCCGCAAGGCUAAAACUCAAAGGAAUUGACGGGGGCCCGCACAAGCGGCGGAGCAUGUGGAUUAAUUCGAUGCAACGCGAAGAACCUUACCUGGGUUUGACAUGCACCAGACGGUUGUAGAGAUACGUACCUCCCUUUGUGGUUGGUGUGCAGGUGGUGCAUGGUUGUCGUCAGCUCGUGUCGUGAGAUGUUGGGUUAAGUCCCGCGACGAGCGCAACCCUUGUCUUAUGUUGCCAGCACUUUGGGUGGGGACUCAUGAGAGACUGCCGGGGUUAACUCGGAGGAAGGUGGGGAUGACGUCAAAUCAUCAUGCCCUUUAUGCCCAGGGCUUCACACAUGCUACAAUGGUUAGUACAACGCGCUGCGAACCUGUGAGGGUGAGCGAAUCGCUGAAAGCUAAUCUCAGUUCGGAUUGGGGUCUGCAACUCGACCCCAUGAAGUCGGAGUCGCUAGUAAUCGCAGAUCAGCAAUGCUGCGGUGAAUACGUUCCCGGGCCU